CCUCUCGUAGUUCAAUGGAUAGAACAGAGGGUUUCUAACCUUCCAAUGUAGGUUCGAUUCCUACCGAGAGGA
rfam:Parcubacteria bacterium GW2011_GWB1_37_13 TS41_C0006, whole genome shotgun sequence.